rnacentral:lncRNA from 1 species
CCCACAGGUCAGAACUCGGUCACAUGACCCUCAUGCAACCACACUAACCAUAGAGGUGACUGGGAAAUGCAGUCUUUCCAUUUGCCUAGGAGGAAGAAACAGUGUGGUGAACACAUGGUAUCGUCUGUUCCGCCAUCCACCCCUCUGUUGACCUGCCAAAGUCCACCCAGUCACUACACCCUCUCCAGACCCAGCAUCUCCGAUGGAUGAGCACAUCAGGCCAGCCACGACUUGCUGUCAUGGGAAUGCGCCCAGCCAAGAUCAGUCAAGCAGAGCCCAGACACAUAAGCAGGAAAAGCUGACUGUUGUGCACCACGGAGACUGUGUAGAUACGUGUUAAUUUGCGUUUCUUCUUAUGGCAGCGCCCUCCUUCACAUAGCCUGCUUCUGUAUUAGUCAGGACAGGCCAGGCUGUAUUGUGGUAGCAGUCGGAACCCCCAAACCCAGCUGCUGCCAAGAGAGCAGGCACUGGGGGCCCGAGUGAUGGGGACUUGGUGGAGCUGGAGCAGCAAACUUGCUAAAAUCACUCCUGGUGACCUGGCAGGCUGAAUACAAGAAGGCUCAGCCAGGAGCACAAGGGGCGAAGUGGAAAAACACCACAUUGCGAGUUUUGUGUUAGGUCCAGUAACACGAGACGGAGACCAGCUUGAGAAAGAAGGCCCAGCUUACAAGCAGAGAUGAAAGUGAACAGAGAGAUGGAUCCAGAAAUUCAGAGCACUGCAAGGGCAGAAAAACCAACUGCUCCAAGCGUUAGGAUUUUAACAAGCUUUGGGAGACAAAGGCCCAAU